UUCAGGUGACAUUUCUACAAAAAUCCCUUACUUUAAUAUAUAAUUAAAAUUCCCAAUAGUAAGUGUUGGCAAAUGCCAAUUAAGCUGCUGACUUAUCUGGUUCCAGAUUUGUAAUUGUAAGUGUUUUUGGGGAUAUUGGUAAAGCCAACAAACAUAGAAAAAGGUAAUUGAAGAUUUGAGUCCCAAAUUUCAGUUAUGAUAAAACGGUUAUGCAAGAAAUUAACUGCUAAAGAUAAAUUUUGAUCAUUCCAGAUAACUACAAUUCCACCUGAGAAAUGUCAAAAUGAUAUAACCCAGUUAAACUUUUAAAAUAGUUAUUCAGUUACCCCGAAAUAUCAGGGAAAAAAAAUUUAAAAAGGAGCCCACAAUAAAAAAAAUUAUAAUAAGAAAAAAGAAAAGAGGGAAGGAGGGAGGUGAAAAAAAAAAACAAAAAAAAAAAACAGAGCAGGCAGGAUGUGAUCACCAAGUUAAAAGUUAAAAUUAUGUUGACUAAUGAAGAAAUAACAGAGAUACAGAUCAGACAAAAUUAAUAAUAAAAUUAAAGUUUGAAGCGAUUGUAUUAUUAAUUAUUAUGCAUAUAUAUGAGCUAUACAGGCAAUUGGCUAGCUUGGAAUGGAAGCUGGGCUGUAGCUGUAGGGUUGGCAAGGUGCUUCCGGGGGCUGCGAAAGCUUCCAUGAUUCAUCCAUGUCUUCCUAUCCCAUGCCUGCAUGCCCUGCAACCCUCUGACCUUAUCUUCUUGUAAAAUUCUUACUGCUCUUUCUUCCAUGGCUGCGGAAGCAGAAGCUGAAUUGAUCCAAACUGAGGAGGAGGAGGCAAAAAUAACCAGCAACAACAUCAAAACAAUACGAUUAAGGGCCCUGAACUGCACCAUAUUCUGCUUGUGAUAUGUGUGCUUUUAGUUUUUUGUGUGUUUGGUGUUUGCAGGGAAGGAUGGAUGGAGUGUGUGUGUGUGUUAUAUAAUGAAGAGGUGGAAAAAGGAAGGGUAACUUUGCUUUGGUUUGAAGUCAAGAAGAAAAUGAUGAAGCUUCUCACACUCAACAAACU
rnacentral:lncRNA from 1 species